GACGAACUUUGGCGGCGUGCCUAAUACAUGCAAGUCGUACGCUUCUUUUUCCACCGGAGCUUGCUCCACCGGAAAAAGAGGAGUGGCGAACGGGUGAGUAACACGUGGGUAACCUGCCCAUCAGAAGGGGAUAACACUUGGAAACAGGUGCUAAUACCGUAUAACAAUCGAAACCGCAUGGUUUUGAUUUGAAAGGCGCUUUCGGGUGUCGCUGAUGGAUGGACCCGCGGUGCAUUAGCUAGUUGGUGAGGUAACGGCUCACCAAGGCCACGAUGCAUAGCCGACCUGAGAGGGUGAUCGGCCACAUUGGGACUGAGACACGGCCCAAACUCCUACGGGAGGCAGCAGUAGGGAAUCUUCGGCAAUGGACGAAAGUCUGACCGAGCAACGCCGCGUGAGUGAAGAAGGUUUUCGGAUCGUAAAACUCUGUUGUUAGAGAAGAAUAAGGAUGAGAGUAACUGUUCAUCCCUUGACGGUAUCUAACCAGAAAGCCACGGCUAACUACGUGCCAGCAGCCGCGGUAAUACGUAGGUGGCAAGCGUUGUCCGGAUUUAUUGGGCGUAAAGCGAGCGCAGGCGGUUUCUUAAGUCUGAUGUGAAAGCCCCCGGCUCAACCGGGGAGGGUCAUUGGAAACUGGGAGACUUGAGUGCAGAAGAGGAGAGUGGAAUUCCAUGUGUAGCGGUGAAAUGCGUAGAUAUAUGGAGGAACACCAGUGGCGAAGGCGGCUCUCUGGUCUGUAACUGACGCUGAGGCUCGAAAGCGUGGGGAGCAAACAGGAUUAGAUACCCUGGUAGUCCACGCCGUAAACGA
rnacentral:rRNA from 1 species